rnacentral:lncRNA from 1 species
ACCUUGAGCUACAAUAAUGGAUGAGUCUACCAGUUGCUAAAAAACAAUUAGGGCAGCCUCAGCAGCAGAAAGAGUUCUUGAGCCUUUUUUAAACCCCUCUUAUUCUCUUUGAAAAGUGACUUGGCGUGCCAUCAAGUUAUCAAUCUUCUUGAUCUGAAUCUUCUGUCUCAACAUCUUCACAGUACAAUCAUUGAGGAAAAAUAUUAGGGCUUGUUUGAUACUAUUAUUUUCAAAAUAGGUUUUCUCUCUUCUUUUGACAACACGUCCUUAAAUAAAAUAUUUUUUAUACACAAAAACUUUUUCUUAUUUUUAUCCAUACAUUGUCCAUCAAUUCGCCAUUCCAAAAUAUAUUAUUUGCCAAAGAUGGGGAUCAAAUAUAUGUGUAUGUCAUUGGUACAAUAAGAAAUAUAUUGAGAUUGGGAGACGAGAAAGAACAUUGUACUUUGUUAAAAAUAAGCAAAAAAGAAACGAAGCAUAUUUUCACAGAAUCUGAAACCAAAAACCCAAAAAAAGGGAAAUCACAGUUAGAAAAAUCAUUCUUUUUUUUUUUCUUUUUUUUCCCCCUUUUUUUUUUUUUUUUUGCAUAAAUAGAAAUCUUCGACGGUGUCACAUUUACUAGUUCAGGGAAGAGACGAAAACCUCCACGUGCAGAAGUGAAACCCUAGAGAGAGAAAGUAGAGAGCAUCUGAAAUGAGAAACCAAGCGAAGUGGCAGUGAAAGUAUCAAUAAAG